CCUAUUCUCUAGGCACAUCAAUCAGUGUUGUAAUCUUAAUAAGCUUUUGGUCCGAGGCUUUGGAUUGAAAGUGCUACAAUGGCGCCUGUGAGAACCACUGGCACUAUUGUGGCUACUGCUGUUGCUAUCUCACUCUCAAUGGCGGUGCUCUCUUACUUUUGGUCAGAGACCAACUUUCCAUUCCAAAGACGAAGAAUUAGAAGUUCAGAACUGGGCUUACUGAUGCCAUUGGAAACGCACCUUUGAUUCGCAUCAACAGCCUUUCUGAAGACACUGGUUCCGAGAAAUGGUGGCUUGAAGAAAUCGGGUGCAGAUGUUAGGACGGCUUGGUGGUGGAGUUCCAGAUUGUCCACAACCUUCUGUCCCCUACCCCGGUUGUUUAGUGAUGAGGUCAGAUGGAUCCUCCCAGGUGAUGACUUCUAUAAGAUAAACAUCAUGUGGCAGUGUUCAAGCAACACAAUGAAGCAGAGAUUGGGGUUAGUGUUGGUUUUUAUUUUCUUUGCAUUCGUGGCUCUAUGCAGGCUUUGAAAUCUGGGAAACUAGCUCAACGGGAAUGAAAGAUCUUCAAUCUAAUUCAAGUUAUUAUUUCAUUUUA